UCCGGCUUAACGCCGGCAGUCUCCCUAGAGUGCUCGCCUUGCGGCGGUGGCAACUAAACACAGGGGUUGCGUUCGUUGCGGGACUUAACCCAACAUCUCACGACACGAGCUGACGACAGCCAUGCACCACCUGUGAAGGUGCCCCGAAGGGAGGACGUGUUUCCACGCCUGUCACCUACAUGUCAAGCCCAGGUAAGGUUCUUCGCGUUGCGUCGAAUUAAUCCACAUGCUCCGCCGCUUGUGCGGGCCCCCGUCAAUUUCUUUGAGUUUUAGCCUUGCGGCCGUACUCCCCAGGCGGGGUACUUAAUGCGUUAGCUACGGCACGGAUCCCAAGGAAGGAAACCCACACCUAGUACCCACCGUUUACGGCGUGGACUAC
rnacentral:misc_RNA from 1 species